CGUGCUUGUUUAUAUUAAUAAAAGCAACUCUCUGUAUUUGGCCGAAUUAUUUUGCCCUAAAAUAUCCCGCUCUUUCCAGGUUUUACCACCUCUACAAUAGAUCCCAUCCUCCCUCUUCUCUAAAAUUUGGCUCUUCUUGUAACUAGGAAGCAAAUUAGUGUGGGUUUUGUGGAAAUCUCUGAUGGAGGCGCUACAUCUCAUCUAGUCUCUCUUCUAAAAAGUCAAAGCUCUCUUUUCGUCUGGGUUCUGCGGCCAUCAGUUGCAAUUGGGAAUUUUGAUUUUUGGGCUUACAGUCGUUGUUGAUCUUCAUUUUUCGAAAGCUUGUCAAAUAUCUUUGGUGAGGCGAACAAAGCUUUCAUUUUCAGGUAUAAUCUUCCAUCUCAGUUAUUUCAGUUUCUUUGUAAUACUUCAACUAUUUAAUUACAUCUUCCUAACAUUGCUAAUAUAUGAUUCCAUCAGUUUCUUUAAGAUUGCUAGGUGAAGUCGGGUGUUCUCUCUAGUAAUGGCAGAAUUCUUGAGAAAAUUGACAAGACGCCAGUCACUAUUGCAGAUUUUGGAGUGCAUGCUUAAGUUAAAAAUAUUUGUGUCAUAAUUUUGAACAAGCUAAACUCCUGCCCUACAAGCUUUUAGUAGAAGACAAUUUGUUUAAUUGUUACGAACUUAAUGAUUGUCCUAAGUUUCAGACUAUUCUUUGUUAAAUUGUUUUUUCCCUAUUGCCAUCUUGGUUCUUUGAUGUAUGUUCAAUAAUAUUUUUUUACUUUAUUUAGUAUUGAAUUCUAGGUUGUUGGUUCUACAUCCACGUACAGAAGAAAUGGAUAUUGGUAAAUUUAGUCGAGAGCACAAAGCAGAGAAAUGUACUCUACGUUAGGAAAUUCUGGUGAGCAAUUGGAAAUGGUGGCCAAAAGACAAUUUGAUGAAGACUUUGGACAAUUUUGAUUUUUGUUAUUUCUGAUACUAUAGUGAUACAUUUGCUUUUGUAAAGUUAAUUUCUAGCAUGCACCUUGAAAUAUUUGCAUUUUUUGUUGAUGUAUUAUACGAGAUUUAUUCCCGUUUUGAAGUUCA